rnacentral:lncRNA from 1 species
CCUACCCAAGCCUACGGUUUGCCUACCCGCUCGACGACGUAUCACAUUCAACAUCAACAAUGAAUCAAAAUACCAUAAUAUUCAUUUUUAUCAAUUUUCGAUUCCCAUUCUCCAAAUUCAUUCUCAACAUGAUUAAACCAAUUCUUCGACUAUCAAAUUCAAUAUCAACCACGCACACACAACAAAGAUUCAAGCAUGCUAAACAAACAAGUUAUUCACACCCAUAACAAACAACCAAAAUUCCAAAAUAGAAUAGAGAAUGAGUUGAGAAAUGGACCUCAAUGCUUUUUAAUUGAAAUUUCUCUUUCCAAUUAGAACCGCGUCCAAAAUCUCGGACCCAACCUCAACGACGAACAAACCAACUCGAAUAACCUUUUUUUUUUUCUAUUUUUUCAUCGACCCAAAUUGGAAAACUACACAACGAAGACAAACCCGUACCAAUUUCGCAUCCCCAGCUACCGUGUCAAUAGAUUUACGGCGAAAUUUGCUGGAAUCGGGACUGGUUGGGGCGACCUUUCUUCGUCGGAGCUUCGAUAAGCUCGAUCGGCUAUAGGCGUGGCUGGUUUCAAUGAUUUACAAGGGUCCCGACAUUAUUUCGAUGGGAAUUCGCCGGAACCAAUCGUGAGGGGUCAAUUUUUUGUUAGAAACAGGGGUUAAAAGAAUGACACAGGAGUCGGUUCAACGGAACAGUAAACUCCGGUGAUGUUGCUCUAUUUUUCUCCUCACUGUUCUCUCUCUCGAUCUGUCACGUUCUCCGAUCAACCUCUGCCUGCCUUUUUCGAUCACCGAUCUCCCUCAUUUCUCGAUCUCUCGAUCUCUCUCUCUCACCGGUGUUAUUACUGUGUGCGUGUCUAUAUGGUGUAUUCUGUGUAAGUUUCUAUGAGUAGAAAAUGAAAGAUAAUGGGGAAUCCAUGGGUGGUGUGUGUAUAUUCCUAGUGUGUGCAGGUGUGCGAUUUAUGAGUUAAUGGGUCAAAAAAAAUGGAGUGUCUAUGUAGUGUGUGUAUCCG